GCGGGCGUAGCUUAGCCUGGUUUAAAGCGCUUCCCUGUCACGGAAGAGAUCGCCGGUCCAAAUCCGGUCGCCCGCG
rnacentral:tRNA from 1 species